CAGGCAUGAGCCACCGCACCCGGCCACCUUCCCCGUCUUUAAUCCUUCAGUGCUUUCAGUAGAAAUCACACAGAUAAGUAACAUCUGUGCAUCACACACACACACACACACACACACACACACACACAGCCUCUGAGGGCCCUCUCCCUUUUCCUACCACAAGGAAUGGAGGAGCCUUCACUACUGCAAGCUGGAAUAUAUCAUGCAGUGAAGAUGGGAGGCCAAGCAAAUUUUUCUGGAAAGUGAAGUGGCAAGUUCCUGGUAUGUGGAAGUGCUGUCCGUCAAGUUGAGCAACCCCCUGACCCCUCAGAAUGGAGCACCUCACCCCCAUGUUACAGAAGAGGAUAUUCUAUAUCAUGGUAGAACUCAGUGGGCUCUGGGUUGCAACAUAGACUUGGAAGCUUCCAGCAGCUUCAAAGUCCAAGUAAUCUAAAUUCAGCCUUCAUCUAAUAAAGGCCACCUUUGUGGGCCAGCAUCUCCUGUUAGCUGAUCAGCAACUCAGACUUUCUUCCCUAUUAAGCUGCAUGUGAAGCAGUAUUUCAAGAGGUUUCUUGGGAUUGCUUGUGUCCCAUGUCCUCAGAAGUUCAUCUGCAGCUUCACGCAGCUGACACCCUCAGAUUCCAGAGUAAACCUGAAAAAACCACGUUCACUGCUACAGAUGUCUGUCUUCACCCCAUCCAUGUAAUGUGCCAGGUCUUAACUACCACCCCCUUACCUUGAAUCCCUGAGAAGCACGUUUCUAAGCUGAGUUGGUUGGUGGUUUUGUCUAUCUGUAAUGAACGCAUGAGAACUACCACUACUUGGUAUGUGCCUACCGUUGAGCCAGGACCAAGGCGUGCAGCCACUUGAGUCUCAUUCACCUCAGCCGCGGCUCCAGGAACUAGCGUCAGCGGCAUUAAGUGCAGGCUGAAGGCCCCCAUCUGAGAAGACAGUGCACUCUCCCUGAGUUCGCCUCUCAUCAGGCUUGGGUUUUCAUGAAAUCAGUCCUCCGAGAUGCCUGUUCACUCAUCCCUGUCUGGAAAGGCAAAAAGUACGUCACUGGCCUAUUAGAUACGCCCAGGCUGACUUGAAUAUAUUGAUGGUACUAGUACUUGGCCAGGCAGUGGCUUUACUGUAUUACACUGUAGGAUGACGAGCUCACUGCACGGCCUUCUCGACUAGGGGAGGGGACACUGCCUGAGUCCCAGGCAUACUUUUCUCACGUGGAUGAUACUGCUCUCUACCUGGGCAUUCUCACCUGCCCCAGCUCAACCCCUAAAAGUACAUUUCUGAGGACCCUGCAGUAAGACUUUUUCAGCCACAGUCUUCUCUACCAGCUGAUCUGUGUGGUGUUAGACAUUUCAGUACUUACUGAGAGGGAGUUUUCUGUGCCCCACCUUCAGCUGGGUUAAUCCCCAAAGAACCAGUGUUUCCUAGAAAGAGCAGUUCAUUCCAUACCUUGCUCUUGUAGUCCUAAUGGCCAUGUCGACAUACCCAGCUGUGACAAGAUGAAGGACCACGAUUUGGGACUCUUCAGGGACAGACUUGGCCACCUGGUGAUGUGCCACCUUCAGCAGCUCUGUCUUCACACGUCCAGCCUGCGCCUGCUUCAUGUAGUACACAAGACUGCUCUGGUACACCACGACCAUGACCUUCACAUGAGGCCAGUCUCCCCGCCCCUCACCUGGGCCAUAGAAAAAGCCAGCCUGGCCCGAGCCCCCCACAAUGACCAUCGAAGCCCCACGUGGUCCUGGAAAGCAGCGUGUUCAUGCUGUGGAAUGUAAAGAGCUGUUUCCCAUCACCGGGGCCAGCAGUUCACAUGUGAGGCCACGCCUGGCACCAGAUGCUGUUGUAAGAACUUUGCGUAUAUUCAUUCAUUUAAUCCUCACAAUUGCAUGAAACCGUUACGUCCAUCCUGUUUUGUAUUGUUAUGAGGUAGUCAGUGAGAUUGAGCCAAAAGAGGCAGAGGAGAGGCUCGGGAUAACAAAUGUACUCAAUAUUCCUAGAGACAGGAGGCAGGGCAGGCCACACAGGGCCAUGUGGGCGAGGCACCUGAGUGUUCAGGAGGCAGAAGACAGGAGUCGGCGGGGAGUAGGGGGAAGCAUGAAGCCAGGGCCUUCUUUGGGUGUCUGAGGGAAAGGCAAGGCAGGGUGGGUGAAUUGUUUAGACUGGCUAGUUUGUGUCAUUUCAGUAAGCUCUAAGCUAUAAGGAUGGGGGUGUCCCUAGGUGCCUGGUGCUCGGCCCUGGGGUGAUGAAGGCAGAGGAAUGUUGCUUCUGG
rnacentral:lncRNA from 1 species